GACGAACGCUGGCGGCGUGCCUAAUACAUGCAAGUCGAGCGAAGUUUUUCUGGUGCUUGCAGUAGAGAAACUUAGCGGCGCACGGGUGAGUAACACGUAAAGAACCUGCCUCAUAGACUGGGUCAACUAAUGGAAACGAUGGCUGAUAACGGAUAACAGUAUUUCUUGCAUGAUGGAUAUUUAUAAAUUGGUUAUGCUAACACUAGCAGAUGGCUUUGCGGUGCAUUAGCUAGUUGGUGGGGUAAAGGACCACCAAGGCGACGAUGCAUAGCCGACCGGAGAGGGUGAUCGGCCACACUGGGACUGAGACACGACCCAGACUCCUACGGGAGGCAGCAGUAGGGAAUCGUCCGCAAGGGGCGAAAGCCUGACGUAGCAAAGCCGCGCGAGUGAAGAAAGAUUGCGGUUAGGAAAGCUAUGUUGUUAGGGAAGAAUGAAUAUGUAGGAACUGUACAUGUAAGUGACGGUACCGAAACAGAAAGCAACGGCUAACUACGUG
rnacentral:rRNA from 1 species